UACGUAGGAUGCAAGCGUUGUCCGGAAUUAUUGGGCGUAAAGAGUUCGUAGGCGGUUGCCUAAGUCUGUUGUUAAAGGCCUGAGCUCAACUCGGGUAUGGCAAUGGAUACUGGGCGGCUAGAGUGUGGUAGAGGUCACGGGAAUUCCAGGUGUAGCGGUGAAAUGCGUAGAUAUCGGGAGGAACACCAGUGGCGAAGGCGACUACCUGGCCUGUUCUUGACGCUGAGGCGCGAAAGCUAGGGGAGCAAACGGGGAUUAAGAAACCCGGGGAUAGACCCAGGACCGAACGUCUCUCGACUACC
rnacentral:rRNA from 1 species